rnacentral:rRNA from 1 species
CUACGGGCGGCUGCAGUGAGGAAUAUUGCACAAUGGGGGGAACCCUGAUGCAGCAACGCCGCGUGGAGGAUGACGCAUUUCGGUGUGUAAACUCCUUUUAUAUGUCAAGAAAAUGGCGGUAGCAUAUGAAUAAGCACCGGCUAACUCCGUGCCAGCAGCCGCGGUAAUACGGAGGGUGCAAGCGUUACUCGGAAUCACUGGGCGUAGAGGACGCGUAGGCGGGUUGGAAAGUCAGGUGUGAAAUCCUACAGCUUAACUGUAGAACUGCACUUGAAACUUCUAAUCUAGAGUAUGGGAGGGGGAGAUGGAAUUAGUGGUGUAGGGGUAAAAUCCGUAGAUAUCACUAGGAAUACCUAAAGCGAAGGCGAUCUCCUGGAACAUUACUGACGCUAAAGCGUGAAAGCGUGGGGAGCAAACAGGAUUAGAUACCCCAGUAGUC